rnacentral:rRNA from 1 species
AGCGAACGCUGGCGGCAGGCUUAACACAUGCAAGUCGAGCGGGCAUCUUCGGAUGUCAGCGGCAGACGGGUGAGUAACACGUGGGAACGUACCCUUCGGUUCGGAACAACUCUGGGAAACUGGAGCUAAUACCGGAUACGCCCUUAUGGGGAAAGGUUUACUGCCGAAGGAUCGGCCCGCGUCUGAUUAGCUAGUUGGUGGGGUAACGGCCUACCAAGGCGACGAUCAGUAGCUGGUCUGAGAGGACGAUCAGCCACACUGGGACUGAGACACGGCCCAGACUCCUACGGGAGGCAGCAGUGGGGAAUAUUGGACAAUGGGCGCAAGCCUGAUCCAGCCAUGCCGCGUGAGUGAUGAAGGCCUUAGGGUUGUAAAGCUCUUUUGUCCGGGACGAUAAUGACGGUACCGGAAGAAUAAGCCCCGGCUAACUUCGUG